UCCUCAUUUUCCAUGUCGUCUUUCCUGGUGU
rnacentral:piRNA from 1 species